rnacentral:rRNA from 1 species
GAUGAACGCUGGCGGCGUGCCUAAUACAUGCAAGUCGAGCGAACAGACGAGGAGCUUGCUCCUCUGACGUUAGCGGCGGACGGGUGAGUAACACGUGGAUAACCUACCUAUAAGACUGGGAUAACUUCGGGAAACCGGAGCUAAUACCGGAUAACAUGUUGAACCGCAUGGUUCAACAGUGAAAGACGGUUUUGCUGUCACUUAUAGAUGGAUCCGCGCCGCAUUAGCUAGUUGGUAAGGUAACGGCUUACCAAGGCAACGAUGCGUAGCCGACCUGAGAGGGUGAUCGGCCACACUGGAACUGAGACACGGUCCAGACUCCUACGGGAGGCAGCAGUUGGGAAUCUUCCGCAAUGGGCGAAAGCCUGACGGAGCAACGCCGCGUGAGUGAAGAAGGUCUUCGGAUCGUAAAACUCUGUUAUUAGGGAAGAACAAAUGUGUAAGUAACUAUGCACGUCUUGACGGUACCUAAUCAGAAAGCCACGGCUAACUACGUG